AUUGAACGCUGGCGACAUGCCUAACACAUGCAAGUCGAACGGGGCAGCAAUGCCUAGUGGCGGACGGGUGAGGAACACGUAGGAAUCUGCCCUUAAGUGGGGGAUAACCAGGGGAAACCCUGACUAAUACCGCAUGAUCUCUUCGGAGCAAAGAGGGGGACCGCAAGGCCUCUCGCUUCUGGAUGAGCCUACGUGUGAUUAGUUAGUUGGUAGGGUAAAGGCUUACCAAGGCGACGAUCAGUAACUGGUCUGAGAGGAUGAUCAGUCACACCGGAACUGAGACACGGUCCGGACUCCUGCGGGAGGCAGCAUUGGGGAGUAUUGGACAAUGGGCGCAAGCCUGAUCCAGCAAUGCCGCGUGUGUGAAGAAGGCCGUCGGGUUGUAAAGCACUUUAGCCUGGAAAGAAAAAACUUUGGUUAACACCCAAAGUCUUGACGGUACCAGGAGAAUAAGCACCGGCUAACUCUGUGCCAGCAGCCGCGGUAAUAC
rnacentral:rRNA from 1 species